rnacentral:rRNA from 1 species
AUAUUGCACAAUGGAGGGAACUCUGAUGCAGAGACGCCGCGUGAGUGAAGAAGUAAUUCGUUAUGGAAAGCUCUAUCAGCAGGGAAGAAAGUGACGGUACCUGAAAAAGAAGCUCCGGCUAAAUACGUGCCAGCAGCCGCGGUAAUACGUAUGGAGCAAGCGUUAUCCGGAUUUACUGGGUGUAAAGGGAGAGUAGGUGGCAGAGCAAGUCCGAAGUGAAAACCCAAAGCUCAACUAUGGGAAUGCUUUAGAAACUGCUCAGCUAGAGUGCAGGAGAGGCAAGUGGAAUUCUUAGUGUAGCGGUGAAAUGCGUAGAUAUUAGGAGGAACACCAGUGGCGAAGGCGGCUUGCUGGACUGUAACUGACACUGAGGCUCGAAAGCGUGGGGAGCAAAC